CUUAAUUCGACGCAACGCGAAGAACCUUACCAAGGCUUGACAUGCGCAGAAAUCCGGCAGAGAUGUCGGGUCCGUAAGGGCUGCGUACAGGUGGUGCAUGGUUGUCGUCGGCUCGUGUCGUGAGAUGUUGGGUUAAGUCCCGCAACGAGCGCAACCCUCGUUCCGUGUUGCCAGCGCGUAGUGGCGGGGACUCACGGGAGACUGCCGGGGUCAACUCGGAGGAAGGUGGGGAUGACGUCAAAUCAUCAUGCCCCUUAUGUCUUGGGCUGCACACGUGCUACAAUGGCCGGUACAAAGGGCUGCUAAGCCGUGAGGUGGAGCGAAUCCCAAAAAGCCGGUCUCAGUUCGGAUCGGGGUCUGCAACUCGACCCCGUGAAGUCGGAGUCGCUAGUAAUCGCAGAUCAGCAGUGCUG
rnacentral:rRNA from 1 species